UGCAAGUCGAACGAGAAUCUACUGAAGGAGGAUUCGUCCAACGGAAGUAGAGGAAAGUGGCGGACGGGUGAGUAACGCGUGAGGAACCUGCCUUGAAGAGGGGGACAACAGUUGGAAACGACUGCUAAUACCGCAUGAAGCAUAGGGGUCGCAUGAUUCUUAUGCCAAAGAUUUAUCGCUUCAAGAUGGCCUCGCGUCUGAUUAGCUAGUUGGCGGGGUAACGGCCCACCAAGGCGACGAUCAGUAGCCGGACUGAGAGGUUGAACGGCCACAUUGGGACUGAGAUACGGCCCAGACUCCUACGGGAGGCAGCAGUGGGGAAUAUUGGGCAAUGGGCGCAAGCCUGACCCAGCAACGCCGCGUGAAGGAAGAAGGCUUUCGGGUUGUAAACUUCUUUUAAGAGGGAAGAGCAGAAGACGGUACCUCUAGAAUAAGCCACGGCUAACUACGUGCCAGCAGCCGCGGUAAUACGUAGGUGGCAAGCGUUGUCCGGAUUUACUGGGUGUAAAGGGCGUGCAGCCGGGUCUGCAAGUCAGAUGUGAAAUCCAUGGGCUCAACCCAUGAACUGCAUUUGAAACUGUAGAUCUUGAGUGUCGGAGGGGCAAUCGGAAUUCC
rnacentral:rRNA from 1 species